GUGGGAAAAUGGAAAGGCAUAACUGGAGAAAUUUUGAUUUGAUGCACUGCCCCUGCUUUUACAACCUAAACAAUAUGUUCUCAAGUACCAUAUAUUAAUAGUCCUCACUAUCCCUUCACAAGCAACAAUAAAUCAUUUGGUUUGAUAAUGUUAUCCAUACGUACCUUUUGGAUCCAACGUGUAUUUUACUUCAAAGCCAUCUCUCAAAACCGUCUCAAGAGCAUCCUUUCCACCUCUAAUAAGUUGGUCAACAGCCGCCCUUGGAGCUGGAACUUCGACGCUGAUGUUACAAUCUGGGAGGUUUUGGCUCCAGUCUCUCAAAAGCGCAUCAGUUGCAUAAAAUGCAUCCCGUUGUUCACCAUUUAUAGGACAUGGAAAUUUGUUCAUAUCAUAUGUCAUCUGGUUUUGGCAAUCGUAGAAUAGAGUU
rnacentral:misc_RNA from 1 species